CGCUGCCCACCCCCACCAUCGACGACCCUCACCAUCGAGCCCACGCCCAGACCCAUGCUGGACGUAGCAGGAUUCACCCGCGAACCCCACCGGCGACCUCCUAAUCUCCCCCAACCUCACCGUCGGGUGCCCCUUACCUCUCCGCCCAGAUCGACUUGGUCCGCUCAUCUCGUGGCCAGAUCCAGCAGUAAUCCCUCCUUCCCACCUCCCCGCCUCUGGAUCGAGCAGGCGCCGCCGCCCCCACCCCCACUCCCUUCCUCUGGAUCGAGCAGGCGCUCUCUACCGGCGGGCUUGGGGAGGCUGGCGUUCCCCAUCGAGAUUCGUCGUGGACGUCCUCCGGCGCCAACCCCGACCGGCUCCCAUCGCUAGUGUUUCGGUCGGCGUGGCUCUGACGACUCAGAUCCAGGAUGCCAUCCUCGCUCGAGCACCGGGACGCCAUGGACGAUGGCCUCUACCUCCCCUACCUCGGCGCCAUGGAGCAACUCCGUCCGUCCGCGUUCUUCUUCUCAGGAUUCCUACCCCCGGCCAUGGGCCAUGGAGAACGAGUAGAUCCAACCGCAGGGCUCAAAGUUAUGAAUCCCUUUCUCCUCCCCUCGUCUUUUCUUCUUCCGCUCUCUGUCGGACCCCCUUCUCGUCGCUCUUUCGGACCAGGAUGUCACCAUGGGAGAUGAAGGCAUGAUGUGUUGUGCUGCUGCUUGGAAGGGACGCCAUGGACCUCCCUCCUCUGCUUCUUCUCUUCCCCUAACUCCAUCAAGGUGAUGGAUUGGUACAGCGACCUACUCCCCUGCUUCCUAUGUUAAUUUGGUGCGCGGUGUGGAUGUGAUGUAUUUUAGGCAUGAUUAAAUACGUGUUUUGGCACAAUUCCUUCUCAAGGUGCUGGUGUUUGUGGAGGUGAUUUACCUUAUUUUUUCACUCUGUGUAUCAAGGUGUAGUUGUUGAGCAUUGAUAGGAGUUGUUCGGUGUACGUGUGUAUCCUCUAGUAGUUUGUCUCAUAUAUGAUGUUGUCUGCCUGCCAUGUUGCUGUCGUGUCUCACUAUUGGAUGGUCAAAACAAAGUUUUGUAAUUUAGAAACUGCAUGUAUGUUGACACUAUUGAGAUGAUGAUCGCUUCACCUUGCA